rnacentral:rRNA from 1 species
UACGUAGGGUGCGAGCGUUAAUCGGAAUUACUGGGCGUAAAGGGCGCGUAGGCGGCCUUCUAAGUCGAACGUGAAAUCCCCGGGCUCAACCCGGGAACUGCGUCCGAUACUGGAAGGCUUGAAUCCGGGAGAGGGAUGCGGAAUUCCAGGUGUAGCGGUGAAAUGCGUAGAUAUCUGGAGGAAUACCGGAGGCGAAGGCGGCCAACUGGGAAUGCAUUGACACUGAGGUGCGAAAGCGUGGGGAGCAAACAGG